rnacentral:rRNA from 1 species
GAUGGACGCUGGCGGCGUGCCUAAAACAUGCAAGUCGAGCGAACAGAUAAGGAGCUUGCUCCUUUGACGUUAGCGGCGGACGGGUGAGUAACACGUGGGUAACCUACCUAUAAGACUGGAAUAACUCCGGGAAACCGGGGCUAAUGCCGGAUAACAUUUAGAACCGCAUGGUUCUAAAGUGAAAGAUGGUUUUGCUAUCACUUAUAGAUGGACCCGCGCCGUAUUAGCUAGUUGGUAAGGUAACGGCUUACCAAGGCAACGAUACGUAGCCGACCUGAGAGGGUGAUCGGCCACACUGGAACUGAGACACGGUCCAGACUCCUACGGGAGGCAGCAGUAGGGAAUCUUCCGCAAUGGGCGAAAGCCUGACGGAGCAACGCCGCGUGAGUGAUGAAGGUCUUCGGAUCGUAAAACUCUGUUAUUAGGGAAGAACAAAUGUGUAAGUAACUGUGCACGUCUUGACGGUACCUAAUCAGAAAGCCACGGCUAACUACGUG